AACGAACGCUGGCGGCGUGGAUAAGACAUGCAAGUCGAACGGGAGUUUGUUUAUAGCAAUAUGAGCGAAUUCUAGUGGCGAAAGGGUGCGUAACACGUGGCUACCUACCUCGAAGUUGGGGAUAGCUCGGCGAAAGCCGGAUUAAUACCGAAUGUGACCGUAAGGUCAAAGCUGGGGAUCGUAAGACCUGGCGCUUUGAGAUGGGGCUGCGGCCUAUCAGGUAGUUGGCGGGGUAAUGGCCACCAAGCCUAAGACGGGUAGCUGGUCUGAGAGGACGACCAGCCACACUGGAACUGAGACACGGUCCAGACACCUACGGGUGGCAGCAGUCGAGGAUUUUCUCAAUGGGGAAACCCUGAAGGAGCGACGCCGCGUGAGGGAUGAAGGUCCUCGGAUUGUAAACCUCUGUCAUCUGGGAACAAUGUAAUCUACCUAACACGUGGAUUAUUGAUAGUACCGGAAGAGGAAGCAGUGG
rnacentral:rRNA from 1 species